rnacentral:rRNA from 1 species
GGCUAACGCUGGCGGCGCGCCUAACACAUGAAAGUCGAACGAACCCUUCGGGGUUAGUGGCAGACGGGUGAGUAACGCGUGGAUCAUGUGCCUCUUUGCUGGGGAUACCGUUUCGAAAGGAACCUUAAUACCGCAUGUGCCUGUUAGGCGUCAUCCUCGAGCAAGUAAACUGUUAGGGUAGAGAGAGCAUUCCGAGUUCUAUCAGCUAGUUGGUGAGGUAACGGCUUACCAUGCCUACGAACGAAAACUGGUCUGGGUGCAUGAUCAGUCACACUGGAACCGAGACACGGUUCUGACUCCGACGGGAGAAUGCAGUGAGGAAUCUUGCACGUCGGGGGUAAUCCUGAUGCAGCGACGCCGUGUGAUUUAUGAAGUCCUUCGGGUGGUAAACCUCUGUGAAUAGGGAAGAAGAAUGACGGUACCUACUGAGGAAGGUUCGGCUAACUACGUG